rnacentral:rRNA from 1 species
ACAGAGGUGCCGAGCGUUAGGCGGAAUCACUGGGCUUAAAGCGUGUGUAGGCGGAUCGUUAAGUGCCUUGUGAAAUCCCACGGCUCAACCGUGGAACUGCUGGGCAUACUGCCGAUCUUGAGCCACUUAGGGGCAACCGGAACAAACGGUGGAGCGGUGAAAUGCGUAGAUAUCGCUUGGAACGCCGAAGGUGAAAACAGGCUGCUGGGGUCGCGCCGACGCUGAGACACGAAAGCCAGGGGAGCAAACGGGA